rnacentral:misc_RNA from 1 species
GCAAACUUGGUCAUUUAGAGGAAGUAAAAGUCGUAACAAGGUUUCCGUAGGUGAACCUGCGGAAGGAUCAUUAAUGUGUUUGAACUUCGGUUCUUUAUCUCGACGCUGUGCGCCUUCGGGCUUGCACGCUGAGAGAGCAUAUAUCCACCUCUGUGCACUUAUACGGCGGUGCGCGUCACUGCGCGCCGUUCGUCAUUAUACACAUUUAUAAGUCAGUUUUGUAUGAUAAAUGAUAAAAAAUACAACUUUCAGCAACGGAUCUCUUGGCUCUCGCAUCGAUGAAGAACGCAGC